rnacentral:rRNA from 1 species
AAUGAACGCUGGCGGCAGGCCUAAAACAUGCAAGUCGAACGCCCUAGCAAUAGGGAGUGGCGCACGGGUGCGUAACACGUGGGAAUAUGCCUUUUGGUACGGAACAACGUCUGGAAACGGACGCUAAUACCGUAUGGUCCCUUCGGGGUAAAGAUUUAUCGCCAAAAGAGUAGCCCGCGCUGGAUUAGCUAGUUGGUGAGGUAAUGGCUCACCAAGGCGACGAUCCAUAGCUGGUCUGAGAGGACGAUCAGCCACACUGGGACUGAGACACGGCCCAGACUCCUACGGGAGGCAGCAGUUAGGAAUAUUGGACAAUGGGCGCAAGCCUGAUCCAGCCAUGCUGCGUGAGCGAUGAAGGCCUUCGGGUUGUAAAGCUCUUUAGCCGAUGAUUAUAAUGACUGUAGCGAUAGAAAAAGCUCCGGCUAAAUUCGUGCCAGCCGCCGCCGUAA